AUGAAGAUGAUCAAGAAUAUUCACUUCAUCUCUCUUUGUUAUUAUUCUCUCUUCUUGGUCUUCUCCAGUAUUGUCGUGGCCGUGGCGGCACAGAAUGAUCCGGUGAAUGUGGGAGUUGGAGUGGUUCUUGAUUCCUCUUCUGGGGUUGGGAAGAUGGGGUUGAGCUGCAUCAACAUGUCGCUCACGGACUUCUAUGCCUCUCAUCCCAAUUACACCACCAGGCUGCUUCUGCACCAGAAAAACUCAUCACCCGAAGACGUUGUUCUUACUGCGGCUGCAGCUCUGGACCUAAUAAAUAACGAUCAAGUGCAAGCCAUCAUAGGCCCACAAUCUUCAAUGGAGGCCAACUUCCUAAUAAGCCUCGGCGACAAAGCCCACGUUCCCAUAAUCUCAUUCUCCGCCUCAAGCCCAUCUCUCACUUCAAUCCGCUCCCCCUACUUCAUCCGCGCCGCGCCAAACGACUCGUCGCAGGUCAAAGCCCUAAGCGCCCUAAUCCAAGCCUUCGGCUGGCGACAAGUCGUUCCCAUCUACGCAGAUUUUCCAAUAUUGGACCUAUUAUAUGGCCGGGAGAUAGGAGUUCCGGUGAAGGAUGGUUUUGUUGAGCUUGUUAAGGUAACAACAGAUCCAAGCCUAACACUACAGAUGUCACAGGCUUCAGUAUUGAUGUCUUUAAGGCAGCAGUAGAAUUGUUACCAUAUGCUCUUCCUUAUGAGUUUGUUCCUUUCACCAAUCCUAAUGGCACCAACACCGGCCUCACUUACAACGAUUUGUGCGAUCAAGUAUAUCUUGGGAACUUCGAUGCCGUGGUUGGAGAUGUGACAAUUAGAGCAAACAGGUCUUUGUAUGUGGACUUUACAAUGCCAUACACAGAAGCUGGUGUGGUCAUGGUUGUGCCUGUCAAAGACAUCAAGAGACAAAGUGCAUGGACUUUCUUGAAGCCUUGGAGAUGGGACCUUUGGCUAACAAUUACUUGGUUCUUUCUCUUCAUUGGUUUUGUGGUUUGGGUUCUUGAACAUCGAAUUAAUAAACAUUAUCGAGGCCCUCCAGCAUACCAAGUUGGCACAAUUAUUUGGUUCUCCUUCUCCACCAUGGUCUUUGCACAGCCGGCAAGAGUUGUUAGCAACCUGGCUAGAUUCGUGAUGAUUGUAUGGAUAUUUGUUUUGUUAGUACUGACAAUAAAUUACACAGCCAGUCUAACAUCACUUUAUACAGUAGAAAAAGUUCAGCCCACUGUUACCACUCUAAGUGAUCUGUUACAGAAUGGGGAUAAUGUUGGCUACGCAAGAAAUUAUGUUUUUGAUAUCUUGAUUCAAGUAGGGUUUGACAAAUCCAAGCUUAAGAAGUUUAAAACUAUGGAAGACAUAGAUGAAGCUCUUACUAGAGGAAGUGCAAAUGGUGGUAUUGCUGCUGUUGUUGAUGAAAGCCCCAGCAUGAAGAUUUUUAUAGCAAAAUAUUGCAAGAAAUAUACCUUGUUGGGACCCUUCUUCAAAACUGAUGGCUUUGCUUUUGUGUUUCCUAAACAUUCCCCUCUAGUACGCGAUGUUUCACAAGCAAUCCUAAAUGUUACCGGAGGAGAGUUGAUAAUGAACAUCGAAAACAAAUGGUUCAAGAAGGAAAGCAAUUGUGAAGAUCUGAACACCAAGGUUUCUAGCAGAAGUCUUGGCACUGACAGCUUCUGGUUCCUCUUCGUCUUAGUCGGGUUGGUGUCGACAGUAGCUCUCAUCCUAUCUGUAGCUUCCUUCAUUCAUAAGCAUAGGCAUGUGUUGGUGCACCCGGAUACUGAUCUGAAACCCUCAACAUCAGAAAAGAUUCGAGCUAUGUUCGAAAUUUUCAACGAGAAAGACCUCAACUACCACAAUUUCAAAACCAAGCAACCACAAGAGACAGUGGAGGCCUCAUCCAACAAAAAUAGCUGCCCAAUGAGUCCAGCUCUCCACCACAAUCCAAACCCUAGGGAUUCCAAUUCUGUUUUUGAUAUAGAGCAACCGGAAUAUGAGCCUCCAGAAGUUCUUGCUACUCCUGAGGAUGCUGUCACAGUUCAAGAAAUGCACAGAUAG